AUGGUAACAGUCUGAAUUCUCUGACCAUAUAUUUUCAAAUGUGUUAACACCUAAGUAUUUGUCUAACUGUUGUGUCUUUUGCAGAUUCCUUUCACUUUUGCCAGCCUUAUAAAUCCUACUUAUUCAAAGGUAUUUCCUUUUCUUCCCUGUUCACUGUAUGGAUAUCAUUACUUUGCUCCUUAUCAAAUGGACCAUUAGUUUUCUCAAGAAAAACAACGCAUGUAAUGCUGCAGCUGUUUUCAUGGCUGGUCUUGCCCCUGAAGCUUAAUCUUUUGUAUGUUGAAAGUAAGGAUUUAAUUAUUAUGAUGCUCCUUGAAGUGGAAGGUGAAGUUGGAAGAUGUGUCUGUUGUAAUGGCUAUGACAUAAUUGCUACUAAAAUUAAGAGAUAUUAUUCUUGAUGAUGCUCUCCAACUUGAUAGGAUCUGCCAAAAUUGACCAGGUGAGUGUGCUACUACCAUGCCUUUCCAUGCUAUUUACUGAAACAGAAUUGGGCAAAUUUUACAAAGGUGGCUCUGUUUGGUUUUGGCAGGCUGCACUCACUAGGAGUCCCCCUAACGAAAGGCCCUGGAGAAUUUUUUGUUCUGUACCAAGUCAACCACCUUCAAAAGACAAGCCAGUUUAAAUAUAACGUCUUUGUGGUUUACCUUCUGAACUUGCUUCUCCCCUGAUUUUGAUGUCAUUUUCUUCUUGGUUUGGUCUUUCUUGGGUAUCAACUCUGACCAGGAAUUUUUGACGAAACGGAGACUGGCAGUCUCCCUCUCAUAUCUGACUUUCAAGUUGCUGCUCUUCUCUGCAAGAACAGUCCCAAUCCAGGAAAGGGAAAGACUAGCAUCAUAUAGGUCAUAUUCCACACAGAGAUAUUCUAUUGUUUUUGUUUUGUUUACAUGUCCAUGAAUUGAGAACCUUCUUAUGCUGCACAUUGGCAGAGUUGCAAAUGCCAUGCCUUCAGUUCUAUCAGUGACCAUGGGCAUUGCUUCUCAUUGUUUGUCUCAGCAAGAUUCAAAAGCACAUCCAAUGGGCAUUAAUUUUAUUUUACUUUUUUUUGUUCUAUUUUCCAUUGUAAAAUUAAACAUGAAAAAAAUCAUGUUUCUUAACUUUUUUUCUUUUGUGCUUUUCUAGAACAAAACAUGACAUUAGAAUUUCAUCAUAACAAUGUUGAUAACGAUUAACAAUAUUGUAUUUCAUUAGAAUUUAAUUAUGGAGUUCGGUGUUCCAACUAUCGAAGUAAGCAUAACAAUACAUAUUAUUAUUUUAUUAGAGAGUGCAUAGCAAAGAAGGGAAUCUAAUUGAAAUUUGCAAAGUCUUGUAAGAUCAAAUUAUUGGUAUUUUUACAAAGUCUCUUACGACCAAAAUUUUCGUCAAUACAAAUGUUUGUUGAUAGUAAAGUUGGAGACUUGCUUCUAAUUCAUAUUCUUGCACAAUCCGUUCAAAGUAAUGUCAACCCAAAUCUUUCAAAAUCAUUUCUUGAUAGUUACUUGUUAACAAAAAUUUGGUCGGGGAAAAAAGAUAGUUGAUAUAAAAUGCUAGUUUCUUAAAUUUGGCUUUUAUGAUAUAAAUGUAUCUAACUGAUUUAUCAUGUAUAGAUGAUGACAUAUUAUUGACAUAGAACCAAUUCUAAUAUAUUAUUGAAAGGUCGGAUCAAUGUUCAUCCAAUGGAAAUUGAAUCUAAGAUUUUGUUAGUUAUGAGUUGACAAUGGCUUUUAAACUCUCCAUGAGUCCUUGAAAUUCAUCUUAGAUAGGAGACUAUAAAGGGAUGUGACAUGGAAAGAUUUAUGUUCUUUGUGUUGGAUGAGGGGAAGCUUUAUUAAUGGAGGGACAUAAACUAAAACUAUUUCCAUAUAGAUAUACAAGAUUUUAAUGUGGUUGAGUCAACCAUGUCUACCUUUACAAAUAAAAAGUAUUAUAGAAAACAAAAAUAAAUACAAUUAUUGAGUCUUGAAACAUCCCACUUUUUUUUUUUUUUUUGAAUUUUCAUAUUGAAUCACAAACCUUUUUGUUACACUAGAUGUUUGCCAUUGUUCCUCACAUAUCUAUCAUGUAUAAUCCUUAGAAUUUCAUUUUUCUCUCUUAACUUUUUCUGCUCAUAAUUCAGAAUAUUUAUAAAGAUAUUUUUACUACCUUUUUUUUUAUUCUACAAGGAAUCUAAUUAUAAUUACAUAUUAAUUUGGAAAAUAUUUUAUGUAAUAUUCUUUUUAUAAAAAGAAAUGUAUUUCAAUUAGAAAUUUAAGAUACCUCCGAACAAUCUCUACCUUGAACCAAGGUAUAUUAAGUUAAUUUUCCAUCUUUCCAUUAUAUAUGGUUUAACAAAAAAAAAAAAAAAAAAACCACUUGUGCACCUCGGAUUCUAUGUGCGUCACCGUCUCCUUCAUGCACCAAGAUUCCCUUCAUGCACCAUGGUCUUAUUGUGCGUCACAAUUCUCUUGUUUCUUGUAUCACAUUCUGAUGAGAGAAUAAUUAAUUCUCCCUUAACAAAAAUUCUCUUUGUAGUCCUCUUUUGUGUUAUAUUUUUUGAUCUUCUUAAAAUCUUUAAACAAGGCUUGUUCAUACAUCCACAACCAAGGUUCUUCCAAGUAUCUUUAACCAAUGUUCUUUUGGACAUCUUCAACCAAAACUCUUCUCGACAUCUUGAAUUAAGGGUCUAAUACCACCUGUUAUGUGAAUAGAAACGCUAAUGUAAACAUAUUAAUGGAAGCAUAUAAAAAUAAAACCAUCCAUACAUAUAAGCACAUGGGAUUUUAACAUGGUUUGAUCCACCGAUAGGGAGAAUUUUUUAAAAUUUAGACUCAUUGACUUGGAUUGCCAUGAAAAGGGCCAUCAAACAUUAAACCCAAAAAAUGCAUCAUCUCAUAAUUUCCCAUAUAAUUGACCACUAAAAAUCAACACUUAUAUCAUUUAGUUGCGACAGCCUCUUAUUUAAUUUUAUUUUAUUUUUUAUCUGUUUUAUUUUUUAUUAUUUUUAUCAUCUUUUAUAACAAACUUGGAGUCAACCCUAACUCAUCUGUCUUUUCCUAUCUUGGUUCAUGUAUCAUAUGUUUGAAUGAUUAAUGGAGAAUCAAUGUUUACCUACCCCUUAUUUUUUAUUUUAUUCUUUAUUUAAAUUUUUUUUAGGUGUUGGUGGAUCAUUUUUUUUUUUUGGGUUGGUGACUCAAUUAUUAUUAUUUCUUAUUUAUUUAUUUUUUUAUGUGGUUUAGUCAUCUGUAUUUAUUAUUUGAACAGGCUGUUUUGGUAAACCAUUGGCCUGUUUUGUCAUUUUGGAUGAAGCUUCCUAAAAGGUUAAUGGAGUGGAUCUAAAGCCAUGCUUUGCUUAUUAUGAUUGGUGAGAGAUUAUUGAAUGUAAAUUAAAGUUCACUUAUUGACUGGGCAGGCUAACCCAGAUUAUAAAGAUGCAUGCCAUGUUCUCUUUUGGAAGAAGGUCAUUGCAGGCCAUAUGGAGGUGCGUCCCUCUUGCUAAAUCAUUUUUCAAAAUCUAUUCAAAUUUCUGCACCUUUAUAUCCACAACCACAUUAUAUACUUGUUGAAGCCUCUAGCUACACUUUCUCACAUGUCCUGCUAGCCCUACUCAAAUAUUCCACACAUGUACUGCUCGGGCAUUUGCCCAGUGCGCGCUACUGGAAUGGAUAAAACUGAUGCUAGUUUUGUACUGGGCAAGAUUUUUUUUUUUUCACAUUUGUGAAAAGCUAAUGUCCAUGGCCCUUUGGUUGGAAAAUGAGUCAUAAUUUGCCUAUCUUUCCACAAAAAUGAUUCAUAAUAAGUUAAAAUCUUAACUAAAGCCCGUUCCAACUUUAUUUUUUAAAAUUAGGGUUGAAUUCAAAUCAAUAAGGUUGAUUGGAAUGUGUGAUUCAAAAUCGGUUUAUAAUAUUUUUUUAAAACUUUUUUGUUUUAUAUUUAUACAAAAAUUUAAAUAAUAAAAUAAAAUUUCAAUAUAUAUAAGAAUAAAAAAAAAAGCAGAAAUAAAUUUAUAUAUUUUUGAAAAUAUAUAUAUAUAUAUAUAUAUAUAUAUAUAUAUAUAUAUAUAUAUAUAUAUAGAUAUAUAGAUAUAUAUAAUUAUAAUUUAAUAUUUUUUAACUAUAAAAAAUAAACAUUAUUAAUAUAAAAACAAUACACAUUAUGCUUGGUGUAAAUUUAUGUAAAUUAUAAGGUGUAGCCUUCAAGUGACAGGCCAUUUGCUACUCUCCACCAUCCUUUUUUUUAUGCUAUUCUUCAUCUUUUGGACUGUUUUGCUUUCUUCAUUACUUUCCACUCCAUUAUUGAUGGCAUUGAGUCCUUACUGAAGCAAAGAAAGCUGCUGCUCCAUUCCUAUUCUUCAUCUUCCCCUCAAUUCCUUCACCUCCUCUGCAGAGAAACAGACAUGGCCCUAGAGAUGUUUGCAGGAGCUUUUCUCUCCGCUUCUCUCCAAGUUCUUUUCGACAGGUUGGCUUCUUCCGAGGUCUGGAGCUUCAUCGGGGGACAGAAUGUCAGUGAAGAACUCCUUCUGGAGUUGGGGAUGAAAUUGCUGGUUGUGGAUAAAGUGCUCGACCAUGCUGAGGUGAAGCAAUUUACAGAUGAACGAGUCAAAAGGUGGCUGGUGCGCGUUAAGAAUGAUGUGUAUGAUGCGGAAGACCUACUGGACGAGAUUACUACGGAAGCUUUGCGACGCAAGAUGGAAGCUGCUGACUCCCAGACUGGCCCAACUCACGUAUUGAACAGCUUUUCCACAUGGUUUAAGGCCCCACUUGCUGAUCAUCAAAGCAUGGAGUCUAAGGUAAAGAAGAUCAUCGGCAAACUGGAAGUUCUUGCACAAGCAAUAGAUGUGCUUGCUUUGAAUGGUGAUGGUAAGAAAUUGCCACAAAGAUUACCCUCGACUUCUCUGGUGGAUGAAUUUUCUGUGUACGGCAGGGAUGAAAUUAAAGAGGACAUGAUUAAAAGGUUGUUGUCUGAUAAUACAAGUCGCAACAAGAUUGAUGUGAUCUCCAUAGUCGGCAUGGGCGGGGCCGGCAAGACCACACUGGCUCAGCUUUUGUAUAAUGAUGGGAGAGUGAAAGGACACUUUCACCUGAAAGCAUGGGUUUGUGUUUCAGAGGAGUUUUGUCUUCUCAAGGUGACAAAAUCAAUUCUCGAGGGAAUCAGAUCUGCGACCUCUUCUGAUAUGCAAAGCGAGAACCUAGAUUUGCUUCAGCAAAAACUGAAAGAGAGCCUUGGUGACAACAGAUUUCUACUCGUCCUGGAUGAUGUUUGGGAGAAAUGUCCUAGUGAAGGGGAAGGGUUACGAAUUCCGCUCCUAGCUGCUUGGGAAGGGUUACGAAUUCCACUCCUAGCUGCUGAGGAAGGAAGCAAGGUUGUUGUGACCACUCGCAAUCGAAACGUUGCAAAAAUCAUGCGUGCAGAUCAUACUCAUCCUCUGGAAGGGUUGUCCCAGGCACAUUGUUGGUCCUUAUUUCAAAAACUUGCAUUUGAAGAUGGAGACUCCAGCCCAUAUUCUCAGCUUGAGUCAAUAGGCAAAAAGAUUGUGGCUAAAUGCCAAGGAUUGCCUUUAGCGGUCAAAGCACUUGGGAGUCUCUUGUAUUCUAAAACUGACCGAAGGGAAUGGGAACAAAUUUUGGAGAGUGAAAUAUGGGGCUUACAACAUCAUCAAAUCCUUUCCUUGGUUGAUAUUGAGUUAUCGAGAUCUCCCAUUGCAUCUGAAACGAUGUUUUGCCUAUUGCUCCAUUUUCCCCAAGGGCCAUGAAUUCGACAGGGAGAAACUGAGUUUACUAUGGAUGGCAGAAGGACUUCUACAAUUUUCAAAAAGUAAUGAAAGAAUGGAAAAGGUAGGGGAGCAUUAUUUUGAUGAACUUCUUUCAAAGUCAUUUUUUCAAAAAUCUGUUUCCGAAAAAUCAUGCUUUGUCAUGCAUGAUCUCAUACAUGACUUGGCUCAAUACAUAUCUAGAGAAUUUUGUAUUCGAAUUGAAGAUGAUAAGGUGCAAGAAAUCUCUGAGAACACUCGUCACUCUUUGAUCUUUAAGAGUAACUUUCAUGGAAUGGUUGGGUUUAAGGGGUUUGAGGCCCUUGAGAAAAUAAAAUGUCUUCGAACAUACUUUGAGUUAAGGAGAAUGGAAUGGAAUAUUUAUAAACUAAGUAAAAGGGUUGAUUUACUCAUUAUAUUUUCCAAAUGGAGGUACUUACGAGUGUUGUCAUUGUAUAGUUAUAUUCUUAAUGAGUUGCCCGAUUUAAUAAGCGAAUUAAAAUAUUUGCGUUAUUUGGAUAUCUCAUAUACAAAGAUUAAAAAAUUGUCUGAUUCAGUGUGUUAUUUGUACCAUUUACAAACGAUGAUAUUACCAGGACAUGACUAUUUCAUCGAAUUGCCUUCAAGGAUGGAUAAAUUGAUUAAUUCGUGUUAUCUUGAUAUAAGUGGAUGGAGAGAAAUGCCAAGUCACAUUAGUCGAUUAAAAAAUUUAUGAAAGUUGAGUAAUUUUAUUGUGGGCCAAAAAGGUGGAUUAAGAAUUGGUGAAUUAGGAGAGCUUUAAGAUAUUGGGGGAAGACUUGAAAUUUCAGAAAUGCAGAAUGUGGUGUGUGCUAGGGAUGCAUUGGGAGCGAACAUGAAGGAUAAGAGGCACCUUGAUGAACUAGCCUUGAAAUGGAGCGUCGUAGCUACUAAUGAUGUUAUACAAAGUGGCGUAUUCAACAACUUGCAGCCUCAUCCAAAUCUGAAGCAGCUUACCAUCGAAAGCUAUCCCGGUAUAACAUUUCCAGACUGGAUAGGAGAUCCUUUAUUCUCCAAUCUUGUGUCUGUAUAUCUUCAUUGGUGCGGCAAUUUCUCAUCAUUGCCAAUGUUUGGGCAGCUACCAUCUCUUAAACAUCUUUCUAUUUUAGGAAUGAUAGGAGUAGAGAAGGUGGGAAGUGAGUUUUAUGGGGAUGCUUCUUCCGCCAUUACAAGUAAGCCCUCAUUCCCAUUCCUACAAACUCUAAGAUUUGAGUGUAUGGACAACUGGGAGAAAUGGUUAUGUUGUGGAUGCGAAUUCCGUCGUCUCCAGGAGCUUUAUUUAAUCCGCUGUCCCAAACUCACAGGGAAAUUACCAGAAGAGCUUUCUUCAUUGAAGAAACUUGAAAUUGAUAGAUGUGAGCGGCUGCUUGUGGCUUCACUCCAAGUUCCUGCCAUCCGUGAAUUGAAGAUGUUGGAUUUUGGUGAAUUGCAGUUGAAAAGGCCAGCCUCCGGCUUCACUGCUCUUCAAACUUCACAUAUUGAAAUUUCAAAUGUGUCUCAGUGGAAGCAACUACCAUUGGAACCGCACAAGCUCAUGAUUACAGACCCUGAUGCUAUAGAGUCUCUACUAGAGGAGGGAAUCCUACAAACCCACACUUCUCCUAUGCAAGAUUUGGAAAUCUGGAGUUGUUGUUUUUCCAGAUCCUUGCACAAAGUUUGUUUACCCACUACAUUGAAAUCACUAAAAAUCUGUGACUCUGACAACCUAGGGUUUCUCCUACCUAAGUUGUUCAGAUGCCAUCACCCAUCUCUUGAAGAUCUGCAUAUCGUCAGUGGUCAAAACGAUUUAUCUCUCUCAUCAUCCUUCUCAUUAUCAUUUUCAUUAGCCAUCUUUCCCAGGUUGAUUCAUUUUGGUAUCGAUGCUCUUAACGGUCUUGAAUCCCUCUGCAUCUCGAUUUCAGAAGAGGAACCCACUUCUCUUCGUUCGUUGGAAAUCUUCAGGUGCGAUGAUCUUGAAUUUAUUGAAUUCCCCGCUCUCGACUCGGCAUGCUAUCGGAUCGUGGAAUGCUCGAAGCUCAAGUGGCUGGGACACACACUCUCAUCCUUGCAGAGAUUGAGCUUAGAAGAUUGUCCACAAUUGUUGUUUCACAAAGAUGGUUUGCCCUCCAACCUACGUCAACUUGAAAUUUGUGAAUGCAACCAACUCUCGCCCCAGGUGGACUGGGGUUUGCAGAGACUGGCCUCUCUUACAGAAUUCAAAAUCGGAGGUGGAUGCCAGGACGUGGAGUCAUUUCCCGAGGAGCUCCUGCUGCCCUCCACAAUAACUACUCUUGAAAUUGAACAUUUUCCAAGUCUCAAGUCUCUGGACAGUAGAGGGCUUCAACAGCUUACCUCGCUCAGAAAAUUAUCCAUCCGUCACUGUCCUCAGCUCCAAUUUAUUCCACAGGAGGGUUUUCAACAUUUUCCUUUUCUUUUGGAAUUGGAGAUGGAAGACUGCCCUAAGCUCCAAUCUUUGAAAGAAGCUGGUCUUCCAAGCCUUGCCUCUCUUAAGCAACUAUACAUCAGGGGAUUACCUGAGCUCCAAUCCUUGAUAGAUGUGGGUCUUCAACACCUCACCUCUCUUGAAAAAUUAUUCAUCUCCGACUGUCCUAAGCUUCAAUCCUUGACAAGAGAGAGACUUCCAGAUUCCCUCUCUUUUCUGGACAUCCAGGAUUGUCCUUUGUUGGAACAACGGUGCCAAUUUGAAGAAGGGCAAGAGUGGGAUUAUAUAGCUCACAUUCCACAAAUAUUCAUCUGUGAUGAGGUAUUGUAACAAAGGUUUAGGCAGGUACUUGUUCUACACUAAAAAUUAUUUUCUUCAGAAAAUCUAUGUUCCAAUUCAUUAACUGGCCAAACUUAUGUUUCAAAAUUUCAAAUGAUCUCAAGAAUUGUGCAUCUACAUAUAUAAUCCAUUUGCUAGUCAUGUUGUUGGGGAUUUGAUUUAACCCUUACAAUUGCCAUAUUCUAAUGGUGCACAUUUGUUCAUUUUAAGAUUCUUUGAAACCAGAGACCUGGAACAAUGAUUUGAAGAGGAGCAGGGGAAGAUUGAUCCCAGGUAGUUUACAUUUCUUGCAUACAACCAAUUCUCAUAUAUCCAAAAAUUGUUCAUCUUUCAUGUCGACGUUUCUCACAUUCUCUGCUUGUAAAGGAACAGAGGAAACCAGGCACAUAUUCUAGUUAACUGCUUGUAAGUAAGUAAUUUUACUUGCUUUGGUUUUUCCUUGCUGCUAUUCUCUCUUCCAGUGUUAGAAAGUGGAGAUUUAAGUCUGCAAGAUUUUUUAUUCCAGUGUUGCAAAACAUAUGUUUGGUAUCAAAAUUACUUAAAUUCUUUCUCUUUUUGCGUUCAGAGUCUCAUAAUCAACUCAACUCUUUUGAAGAAUAUUGGUGGAGAUGGAUGGGUUUGUGCCGCAAGCUUUAUUUGUUUGAUUUAAGAAUUUUUCCAACGAAGAUAAGAAGAGUAAAGAAAAAUUGAUCCUAGGUAAUUCAUAUUUUAACCAGCCAAAAAUCAUAUUUCCAUGACUUCUUCAAUUUACCUUUCAAAGUGCAAAGAUGACUCUUAACCAUCUGUGAAAUAUUUUAAUUACUUUGAUCCUUUUGAGGACCUACCAUGGAUUUGUGCUUGUUGAUCUCUUUCCCAUGCUACAAAAUUGGGGAUUUAACUUUUGAUAUAUUUAUCACAGGGUGUCCUAAUCUUGUGUAUAUUCUUGGAGACUAGGGUGCACAACAUGCUCUGUUUGUUUGAUUUAAAAGUUUUUCCUUAAGCUAGUUGUAACAGGAAUAUGAAAAGGAGCAAGGGAAGAUUAACCACAGGUAGGCAACAUUUUGAACAAUUUGAGACCAGAAUCUAAUGUGGUUUUGCGAAUAUUUGUUUGCAUUUUACUUCCAGAAUGUAAAAUUGUGUGUCUAUUUCUCUUACAGAGGCACAGAGGAAAUCAAUAAGAUCUCAAAUUGCAAGAAUUUCAGGUCACUGAUGCAUGUUUUGGUACCUUACUGAGUAUCACAAACUAUUCAUGGCUGAUGUCCCACAUGUAGUAAGAGACGAUCUGGCUUUCUAAUGACGAGGAUUGCACACCAAUUUACAGUCUUCUUUUCUCCAAAUAGCAUUUGAUGUAUGAGUUAGAUUUAUUGUAACUAGUGAAACACAUGAUUGAAAAUUUGUAAUUACUGUGGUAAUUUUUAUUUUUGUUUUUUAAUUAUUUCAGGUUGGUAUAUUGUUUGAGCAGCUCUACAGAUUUGGUUUCUUGAUUAGCAUGAUUGGGUUUGUUUUCCCACGGGCUAAUGCAUUGGGAACCACUUUUGAUUAUCAGUUUCUAAGGGGCUUUGUGUUUCAGGUAUGCAACAACAAAGACACAUACCACCUUCUGCCUCCCAAUACCCUUCACAAGAUUGGUGCAAAACAUGCUCUGUUUCUUUGGUUUAAGAUUUAUUCCGAGGGUAGGAGUCUGGAACAAAAAUAGAAGAAUGGGGGGAGAUUGACUUAGGGUAGCUACUGCUUUAAGCAUACACAACAAGCAAGACAAAUAGUUUUGAUGAAUGUCAUUCUCUUUUACAUUCUGACUAGCCUUUGAUCCAAGAACCCCUUCAGAUCUUGAUUCUCCGUUCAAGGGACUGCAAAACCUUAGUUCUCUUCAAGAAUUGAAUGUCAUUUUCUCAUACUUUUGAUGGAGAAGGAACUUUCCUUGUUUGUUGAUUUUAAGACUUUGAAACUUUGAAACUCCAAACCAGGAACAAAUAUAUGAUCUUAUGAAAUAUGUUUUUUUGCAGAUACCUUUUACAUUCACCACCUUUAUAAAUCCUACUUAUUCAAAGGUAUUUCCUUUUCUUCCCUGCUCAUAUUAUGGAUAUUAUUGCUUUGCUUCCUAUCAACUGAUCCAUUAGUUUUGUCAAGAAAAACAACACCUGUAAUGCUGCAGCUAUCUUCAUGGCUGGUCUUGCUCCUAAAGCUUAAUCUUUUGUAUGUUCAAAGUAAGGAUUUAAUUAUUAUGGCACUUCUUUGAAGUGGAAGGUGGAGUUAGGAAGAUGUAUCUGUUGUAGUGGCUGUGACAUAAUUGCUACUAAAAUUAAGAGAUAUCAUUGUUGAUGAUUCUCUCCUCCAGUCCUCCUUGCUGGGAUCUGCCAAAAUUGACCAGUGGGUGUUCCACUACCAUGCCUUUCCGUGCUAAAUUAUUGAAACAGAAUUGGUCAAAUUUUACAGAGGUGACUCUGUUUUGAUUUGGUAGGCUGCACUUAUUAGGAGUCUCCAUGGCAAAAGGCCCUUGAGAUUUUUUUUUGUUCUGCACCAAGUCAACCAGUUUCAAAAGACAAGCCAGUUUAAGUAUAACAUCUUUGUGGUGUACCUUCUGAACUUUUUUCUGUCCCAAUUUUGAUGCCAUUUUCUUCUUGGGUUGGUCUUUCUUGGGUAUCAACAGUGACUGGGAAUUUUUGACGAAAUGGAGAUUUCUGACUGUCAGCUUCUGUUCUUCUCUGCAAGAACACUUCCAAUUCAGGAAAGGGAGAGACGGCCAUUAUAUAGCUCACAUUCGACACAAGGAGAUAGGCCUAGUGCUGCUCUAAUGAAGGUGGUGGUACAUCGAUAUAUAACCAGGUAUUUGUUCUAUGCUCAAAAUAAAUUUCUUCCAAAAAUAUUUGUUUCACUUAAAGAUUUUUCUCUUAACCCAACAAACUUUGUCCAAGAUAAUUCAUAUUUCAAUACAGCCAGCUUUCGUAUCUCUGUUUUUAUUUAGCAGAUUGCACUCGCUGGGAGUUCCUGUAGCAAAAGGUUGUGGUAACGCUUUAUUCUACUACCUAAAAAAGUGGACCACUUACCAAAGGCAGGGGGAUAAAAUUCUAACAUCUUUGUUCUAUAGUUGCCACUCAUUUCUUUCCAAAUUUUGAUGUCAUUUUGUUAUUGUUUUCGUUCUGGUGUUUGUUAGGUCUUGAUUGUUGGGGGAGUAUGUGAAGAUGUUCUAUUGUGUUGGGGUUACGGUCUUAGAAUUGAGAACCUUCUUGUGCUUCUAUCGGUGACCAUGGGCAUUGGUUCUCAUUGUUUGUAUGGACAAGAGUCAAUUGUAUAUCUGUAGAGAAAUAAUGUCUAAAGUUUUAAUGAAGGUUUACUCCAUGAGACUUGCAAGAAGAAUAUUGUAAUUAAAUUGAUCAACCUAUGAGACUUUUGGUAGUUCUGUUUGCUAUUUUGAUGUCGGUAUCAUCUUGAAGUGGUUCAGUGCAGUUUCCUCAUUAAACUUUAUGAUUUUAUAUGGAAAAGAUGAUUUUGAGCUUAUUCAUUGUCUUCAUGCAUUGUUCUUGAUUGUGACCAGAAAUUUAAUAUAUGUCUACUGCUGUGGAGAUGAUUAUUUAGAUCACUCAUGGAUCCCAUUCUCAACAGGAUUAUCUUCCUCAUCAAUUCUCUUCAUGCAUAAAAAAAUUUACUCCUAUUUUAUAUCAUCAAACUUCUUCAAGCCUAUUCUUUCAGUUUUUCUAAUUAUAAAGCAUUAUAAAAUUAGGUUGUGUACCAUCAAAAGCCCUUUUGAUUUACCAUUUUAGGGUUUUGAUUCUAUUGGAUUUGUUGUCAGCCCUAGCAAGUUCCUGUUUUAAAAUUUAAUCUGUAAUGUUAAGCCCUUUAAAAAGUGACAUUAUAAGUAUCAUUUUCCAUGGAAUAAUUCCUUAGAAAGUUCAUGGCAGAAUUUGAGUCCCAAUUUUCUUCAUGACAAAUAUGAGAACUCUGAAAGCCAUCUCUUCCCUAAACCAUUCCUGAUAAUCAAUUUUGAGAGUCAUAAAACUGUUUCAUCGAUGACAGCAGCUAAAUAUCAGGAAUUGCAGAGCCUCAACUCUCUUGAAGAAUUGUGUAUGUACAAAUACCAUUGCUCAUACUGUUAUUGGAACUAAGAGAGCAAAGCAUGCCCUAUUUUUGUUGGAUUUAAGAGUUUUAAUUUUCCUAAGAUAGAUACUUGGAAGCUGGAACAAGGAUAUGAAAGAGAUCAAGAAGAGAUUGAGCACAGGUUGGCCAAAAUGUUAAGCAUACAUAUUCAUUCAAAAACAUCCUUUGAGCAAUUUGAGAAUACCCACCAAUUCUCAAUUUUCUAUGACUUGUUUCCACUUCCAUAACAUCAAUGUCUGAACUUAUCUAUCUUACAGAGGCACAGAGAAAAUCAAUGAGAUCUGUAAUUGCAGAAUCACAGUUCAAUGAUACAUGUUGAGGCCUCGCGUCCCUGGUGAUCCACGUAGUUGCCAAAUGGGUGGACGCACGAUCUCAACCAAUAUAAGUUCUUGAUUCAGUCGGCCUACCUGCAAAAGGCAUCCGAACAGGGUGUCCGGACGCACCCUCCGAUGGUUUUGUCAACCAUGGUUAGAGAGAGAUAAAUCAGUUGGCCUUUUACUAGGUAUCAAAAGCUUACCUUCCUCUUUGUGUGAAGGCUUAUAUAUAUUGUUCCAGAAGCACUGUUUCCCUCUUUAAUGGUAGGGAGAUAUUUUGUGUUGUCAUGAUGACAUUAGGUGGCGGCAGGGCUAUCAUCACCCUACGGGCGGCUGAUAGAGAUCGUGGUAAGUGAUGCAGCUAUCAGAGAUCGUGGUAGGCGAUCAUGUGAAGUGAUCGUGAGAAGUGACUUGUUGUCACUUCAUCUUGUCCUUUCACUCUACAGGUGGCAGAACGUGGGCUAUGACAGGCUGUUGUGAUAACGUGUAAGACUUGCUUAUUUCAGUCAAUGAUCCGGACAAUCAUAUCCGGAUGGCCUAUGUUGGUCAUCCAGAUGUAUUGCGGAAGUCGUCCGGAUGUUAUGCUUAUUAGUGUCGUGUGCCUCUCCUUGAGGUAGUCCGGAUAGGAGAAGCGCGCCACGUGUACUCUUAGGGAAAUCCGAAUGAGGGUGAUCCGGAUGAUAAUGCGUGCCACAUGUCACCAUGAGGUGUGUGGCACGUGUUCUUAGGAGGAGGGGCCCCUACAAUGCCCCCCUUUUUAACUUGCCUAUUUUGCCCGAGCAAAAAAUGGGCGGGUUAAAAAAAUAAUUGGUUUUUUGAAACUGAAGUCGUCCUUUUUGUUUGUUUGGGCCACGUGGCGAGCGGGGGUGAGGAAGCCAAAAAAGCAUUUAUGAUGGGCCGCCGACUCUGGGUAUUCCCAAGCAGCAUGUCGUUUCAAUGAUGGCGCAACUGUGCGUUUGGUUUUCCGAGGGGCUGUCUCCCUAUAAAUAGCAUACUGUGUCUUCUGUUACAUUUUUCCUACUGCGUUUUUUUUCUGUCAGUGCUGCUUCUUCUUCCUUCUGUGCUUUCCUUUGUUUUUCUGAGUGAAGCCCUAGAAUUUUUCUGCCGGUGAUUUUUGCGUUCUUGCCGGUGACUGUACUGCGGAUUUCAACCCUACUCCUCCAGACUUACACUUGGUACGUGCAUUUGUUCUUGUCUUUUCCUUUGCUGCGUUUGGCUUUGUUGGUUUUGUUUCUGAUUUGUUUGGGUAAGUUGCUUGCGACUGUGUGUGUGAAUGUUGGUAUUUUUUGGUUUCUAGGGUUUUUUGAGGGUGUUUUUUACUGCUGGUACCUCUUUCGUGCAGCUUUACGAAACGAGAAGAUGUCUGCGAACCAGGAAGUGACUUCACCUAGCCCAUGCGGUGCUGCUCAUGCCAAAAAAUCUGUUGACAAAUUGAGCGUGAAGGAGUUCCAUGAGCGAUUUUGUAUUCCCAACGGUGUUUCUAUUGAAUUGACCGACGAGGAGGCUGUAUCGACUGAAAACAGUGAAGACCACGCUAUAUUUUUCAGCAAGGAGCAAUUCAACGCUGGGCUCCGGUUCCCCCUUCCGUCGCUGUUCAAGGAAUUCCUGCAUUUCACCCAGAUUCCCCCGGUGUAUAUUCAUCCGAAUAUGGUCCGAGUGUUGAUGGGAUGUAGCAUCCUGAAUAUGUUGUUUAACUUGGACCUCACUCUACUGGAUGUGUUGUUCAUCUACUCGAUCAAGAAGCUAAAGACUGAUAUCUUCAGCUUUGUUGCAUGCCUGCCGUCCAUGUAGUUGGUGACUAGUCUGCCGGACUCCACCAAGGGGGGUGCCAAGGGUCAUGUACUGGUCAAGGACGUAUGGGCAGGUUUGGCGGUUCAUCCGAACAGACCAUUCACCCCCAAUCAGUCGUUGAAAGUCCCAGGUAUUGAGAUGGUUGUGUUAAAGUAAGAAUUCACAUUGUAACUAUGUGAAUGGACUUUUUUGACAUCUAAGCUAGCUACUUUUGUUCUCUCUCCUUUUUCCUUUUUGAAUUCUCUCUUCUUUUAUGAAAAGUCCUCAAGUUGAAAAAGAGUCUUGUUACUCCUAUCUUUCUACAUUGUUAUUAUUUUCCAUUAAAAUGAACCACCAAAUAAAGUUAUAAUUUCAAAUCCACCUACGAUCCGUUUAUUUUAUUUUAUAAAUAAAUUUAAGUAUAAAAGACAAAACUAUUAUAAUGUAUGAAUAAAUAAAAGUGAUUGAUUUAGUCAUAUGACCAAUAUCAAAUAUUUGCUUUUGAUAUCAUUGUAAAAUCUUAUCAUUCAUUAACCAUCAAUGUAAAUAAUAGUUUUUCUUCAUCCCUUAAUCACUUUCCCUCAAAAUUUGUAGGACUUUUUUACAUCUAACACUUUUAUAUAUAUAUAUAUAUAUAUAUAUAUAUAUAUAUAUAUAUAUAUAUAUAUUUCCUUUUUUGAAUUCUUUCACUUCUUUUAUGAAAAGUCGAUGUACCUAGAAUAUUAGGUUGAAAAAUGAGUUAUGACAUGCCUAUCUUUCCUCAUUGUUCUAAUUUUUCAUAGAAAUGAUCCAACAAUUAAGUUGAAAUUUCAUUGGAAGAUGAUGGAUGGUGGCCAAUUGGUCAUGGCCAUGGAGUUGGUAUUAGUGGUCCUCUUAUGAUGUUCUCUAGGUAAAGUCAAAUAAUCUCAUUAUUCAAGACAACGAGCUUUGUCUUCUAUGGAAAAAAGAUAAUUAGGAGAGUUUGUCUUAGAACUAUAUAUCUAAGUAAAACAAGUCGCUAACAUGAUAUGGACAAAACUCCAAAUUUCAUCUAAGUAAUUCAUAUCCACAUAUAAUUCGAGGAACAAUUUAAUCUCCACCUCUUAGUAAAACUUUUUUAAAAUAAAAAUUAAUUUGUAAUCAUGUUAAGAACUCUAGUGGAUCUAAGUAAGAGUAUUUCUAAAAGUAGUGACACCAUCUAGAGGAGAAGAGUCUACUAAGUUUUUGGUUGCACCUAUCUCAAUUCAAUUCAAAAUGUUGUGGAUUAUUGAAAAUGAGUUUAUAAAAGAAAAUGAAAAUCUACUCAAAAAAUUUGAAUACUAAGAGUCUAAAUUCCAAGAAAUUUAUCUAAUGUGAAAUAAUUUUACUUUUGGAUGACAACCUAUGUUCUCUUUUUACUUUUUUUUUUUUGGCUUGUCAAACUAAAUUCUUAUUUUUUUGGCAAAUAGAAUGAGAUGGUUGGGUCUAUCAUAAUGUCAGGUCAAUCAUUCCAAUAAUGGAAUCAAUUUCUUAUGUUUAAGCACUCUAGAUUUACCACAGUGCAUGUCCAGUUAAUUAUUCAAGUAAGUGGAUCCAAACUUCUCUUUUUAAUAUCAUUCAUUACAAGCCACAAGAUUUAUAUGUUGAGCUUAUCUUAAUGUUAAAUUAGAUGCUGGUUCAAGCCAUGGAAUUUGAACUUCUCUUCACAACAAUCUUACUUAAUUUCGUUAAUUUUGAAGAAAUUGCUUUUUAAAUGGAAAAGGAUUGCCAUAAAAUUCUUUAUUGUGAUGAUUAAUUUAUCAUUUACAUCUAUACUUACCUAAUCUCAAUCCAUUUAAUUAUUUCAUUUAAUUUGAAAUUGGCUAUGUAAGUCAUGGUAAACUUUCGAAAUGCAAGUUUUUCAUGGAUGGAAGCAUAUAAAAAAAUUGAAUAUUAUUGUAUAGGAUGAUAUACAUUAUUAAUAUUAUAAAAAUAUCAAAUCAAAUUCGGUUAUACUUGAAUUGUUUGAACCUUGGUUCAACUCCAACUCAAAUUUAGUUCAGGUGGAAAAACUUAACCCUUGCCUAAUUAAGUGUUGAAAAUGAUUGUGCAAAUCCACCGAAAUAUUGGGUGGGAUCAAGUAUCCCAUUCAAAUUGCACCCUAAUGCUAAGGACCGUAUUUCCCUUUCUUUCUUUCUAUAUUCUUGAGGGGACUCUUUUACAUCUAGUUACUCUUUGACAUCUAGCUACUUUUUUUUUCACUUUUGUGAAAAGCUAAUGUCCAUGGACCCUUAGGUUGAAAAAUGAGUUAUAUAUAACUUGCCUAUCUUUCCACAUUGUUGUUUUCUCAAUAGAAUUCAAAUCGACAUCCUUUUACAACAGAAUGAUGGGGAGUGAUCCUUUGGAUGUGAUGAUACAAAUUUGAUUUGGUUGUACAUUAUUUGGGAGAAACAAAGUCAUGUAAAUUUAUUCAUAUGUUAUAUGGGUGUAUUUGGGCAAAGUACAUUGAUAAGUUCUCAGUUGACAUUUAUUUAACACUGACUGUUGUCGCCUCGCGUAUCCGGUGAUCCACGUUGCUGCUAGAGGGAUGGACACGUGAUUCUCAACACACAAGGGGUUCUUGAUUCAGCGAUUGCACCUGCAAAAGGCAUCCAGACAGGGUGUCCGGACGCACCCUCCGAUGGUUUUGUUAGCCAUGGUGAAAGAGAGAUAUAUAAAUCAGUUGGCCUUUUACUAGGUAUCAAGAGGUUACCAGGGGAUCAGCCUUUUCUUCUUCGUGUGAAGUCAUAUAUAUACAGCUUCAGGGGUACUGCUCCUUUCAUUAAUGGUGAGAAGAUAUUUUAUGUUGUGAUGAUGAUAAUAGGUGUCAGUAGGAGCACUAUCAUCCUACGAACGGUUGUCAGAGACCAUGGUAGGUGAUGCGGCUGUCAGAGAUCGUGGGAAGCGAUUAUGUAGAAUGAUCGUGGGAAGUGACUUGCUGUCACUUCCUCUUGUCUUCUCAUUCUGCAGGUGAUGGGAUGUGGGCCAUGGCUGCUUGUUGUGAUUGCGUGUAAGACUCGCUUUACUUUAAUUGACCAUCCAGACGAUUUAUAUCCGGAUGGAUCAUGCUGAUUAUCCGGAUGUGUUGUGGAGACUAUCCGGGUGUCUACGCUCUGCCAGCGUCGUUUGCUCUUCCUUGGAUAGGAGAAGCUGAAACGUCGUUUGUCUUUCCUUGAGGGGUUCCGGAUAGGAUAGCCGCACCAUGCAUAUCUUUAGGGGAAUCCGGAUGAUGAUGGUCCGGCUGAUAACACGUGCCACGCGUCACCAUGAGCUGCGUGCCACGUGUUUCCCAAGGGAAGGGGUCCCUACAUUGCCCCCCUUUUUAACUUGCCUAUUUUGCCCAAAAAAUGGGCGGGUUAAAAAUAACUGGGUUUUUGAAAAUUGAAAAAGUCCAUUCGUCUAACUUGGCCACGUGGCGAGUGGGGGUGCGGAAGCCAAAAAAGGCAUUUAUGGCGAGCCGCCGACCCUGUGUAUCCCCAGGCAAUAUGUCGUUUCAAUGAUAACAUGGUUGUUGGUUUGCCUUUCCGAGAGGCUGUCCUGCUAUAAAUAGGGUACUGUACCUCUUUUUGCAAUUUUUCCUACUGCAUUCUCUUGAGAGCCUUUCUUCUUACUGCUUUUUCCUGCGUCCUUUGCUUCUCUGAGACAAACUUCGAAAGCUCUUUUGUACCGGUGCUUUUGUAUCGCGACUUUGUUUGUUUGCUGCUGGUGAUUUUGUAUCAAGGCAGUACCCGUUCUUCUUCUUCGGUGCUUUAUUUGGUACGUACCUCUUUGCUACUGCCAUUCCUUUGGUUGCAUUUGCUGGCUCUUUAAAUUUGUUUUCUGGCUUGCUUGGGCGUUGUUUUGGACGAGUCGUUUGCAAUUGUUGUUGAAUGUUGGUACUUUGUUGUUGUUUGGAGGGGUUUUUGAGGGGUUUUUCUGACUGUUUUGGGUUAGGGUUUGUGUAUUUUCUGACUGCUUGGUUUGAUUCGCUGUAUUGCUUUUGUAUGUAGAUUUUGAUUUAGCUUUGUGGUAAAAAAUGGCUCCAAAAAAGGCUGUUUCAUCUGUCCAGGUUAGCGAAGCUAGCGAAAAGGCGAUAGACAAAUUAAAUGCGAAGGAGUUCCGGGAGCGAUUCCGCAUCCCCCAUGACGUAUUGAUAGACUUGGUGAACGAGGAGGCGGCUAUGCCUACUGAGAAAGGUGGAAAAAACGUUAUCCUCUUCACAAAGGAACAAUUCAACGCGGGGCUCUGGUUCCCUCUGCCGGCGUUGUUCAAGGAAUUCCUCCACUUCUCUCAGAUUCCACCCAUCUUCAUUCAUCCCAACCUUGUCCGGGUGCUGAUGGGAUGCAACAUCAUCAACAUGCUGUACAGCCUCGACCUUACGCUACUGGAAUUGUUCUUUGUCUAUUCCCUGAAGAAAGCAAAGAAUGAUAUCUUCAGUGUGUCUGCUCACCUGCCCUCCCUUCAAAUGGUGACAGAACUGCCAGAUUCGACAAAGGGAGGGGCGAAGGGGCUGGUGGCAGUCUGGGGUGGAUGGGCGGGGCUAUCGCAGCAUCCGUCGAGGCCUUUUUCUCCGAAUUAUACCUUAAAAAUUCCGGGUAAUCUUGUUUUGUCAUUUUUUGUCCGGAUUUUGCUUUGCUGAUUUUUUCUGAUUUUUCCGGACGGAAUUCUCACCUUUUGUUGCUGACAAUGCAAGUUUGGAAUUGAGGGGCCACCUUGUGGAUUGGGUGGAAAAGGCGUCCUUUGCCUGCGUCUGCAAAUUAUUCGAAAUAGAUCCCAAGGAGAGGGCCUACAAAACAUUGCUUUCCGCGCGGAAUUUGAUAGAGGUCGUCCGGGAGCCCCAGGAAUAUGUUAUCAAUAUUCUUCCUAGGAAACUGGCAAAGGAUGAGAUAGUGCUUGGGGAGCAUUAUACUGUGAAGGAGCUCCCCCUCUAUCAGGAAGCUAAAGAGGCUGACGCUGAAAGGCGGCGAAAGCUCCUGGAGGAUAGAGAUCAGAAAAAAACUGAAGGCACUAUCCGGAAGGCUCUCGGACAGAAGGGGGGUCCGGACCCUCCUUCAAAGAAAAUUCCAGGAAAGAGGGGGAAGCUAGUGAAGAAGCAUGGGAAGGAUGUGAAGGAACCCACUCCUCCCAAGGAGUUUCCUCCUCCACAAACUACCUAUGAGGGGGAAGUAAUGAUAGAGGAGCCAGUAAAUGCUGCUCCGCACUCUAUCUCAAGCGGCCCCGGACGCAUGUCGGGGUUGAAUCACUCAGGUCCUUCCUUAGUCUCGACUGCGCGUCUGGCUAACGUGGCUGAGGAAGCUGCAUCUAUCAACCAUCCGGGCGACCUUAAUCCGGAUGCUGAUGCAGCUGAAACGGCCCCGUUGGAGGAAGCGGGGGCAGAAAGCCAAAGUCAGCCUUCCGACGACCCGGAUCGCUUGGCCAUAGUCCUGGUGAAAGGGCCUCCCCUCAAGAAGCCGCGUUUGACGCGCGAUCUACAGUCCGGACUCUUUGAGCGGCUUUAAGAGCGGCAGCAAGAGAUUGAAAUUAGCUGCGCUUCUGCCCAUGACGCUCAUCCGGAUGGAGGCGAGGUGGAGAUGGCUACUGAGACCUCAGCCGCUCCGACAAUAAUUCCGGCUGAGGAUGCAUCCGGACCUAUGUGUCCGGACGAAGAUAUGGGGGUUCCGAUUCCGGGACAAGAGUUACCAUCUCCUUCCUCACCUGAGGAGGAAUCUGCUGACGAUGCCGCUCCCGCUAGCCCUUUCAGCUACGCGGAGUUGGAAGUUAAGUUAAAGCAGAUUACACCUGAUUGGAGAGCCAUCAAGCCCUCUGCUCAGAUGUUUGAUAUGAUAGAAACGGUAUAUCGUUGUCUUGUGUUUUUGCUUUUUGACUUUUUGUUGCACUGAUGUGUUUGUUGUAGUAUGAUUUAUGUCUUUGCUUUUCUUGUUUGUGUGUCAGCUGGUGAGGGGCCUCCGCAGCAUGUCUCAACAACACGAUCUUUUUAUUCAGCUGCUGCAGACUGCAGACUAUAUGAGGACCUUCUCCUCUCGGCGCCAAGAGAUUGAAAAUCAACUGCGUCUGAGAAUGGAGGAGGCUGAGGCCAGUCUAUCCACCAUGCGAGAGGAAAAUGAAGCCCUCCGGGUGGAGUUGGCUGAGGCAAAGGGUCGAGAAGAAUCAACUGCGGGCCGCCUUCAUGAGGCGGAGGGUGAGGCAGCCCGGCUAAGGGAUGAAUUGAGUCAACUCCGGACAGAAGUUUUGAAUGAAAAGAAACAGAAGGAAGACUUGCAGCUGCGCCUGGAUGUGCAAAAAGAGGAACUUGAACGGGAGUUUGCUGUGGAAAGAGAGGAACUUGCAGCGGAUUACCAGCAACAAGUGGAUGAUACGUUUAUCUUUGGGUAUCGCUGCUGCAUGAAGAAGAACGGCAUUAAGCGAGAUACCCCUACAAUUCCUCCGGGUGAAGAAAAGAAGCUCCAUGAGAAGCCUGCUCCCUGAUAGUUUAUCUCUUUUUGCAAUUUUUCUGCUGUAAUUUUUCCUUCUGUAUUUUUUUUGUGGUCCGGAGAUCUCUUUGUAAUUACAUUUACUCAUAUCAAUAAAACAUACUUCUUUCUCAUUUGCACUUGUGUAUACUUUCUACUGAUAGUACUGCUUUAAAUUGGACACAUUCCAUGGUCUGAGUAACGGAGUGCCAUCUAGCUUUUGUAAAUGAUAGGCUCCAUUUUCGUUUGCCUUAGACACUAUGUAGGGUCCUUCCCAAUUGGCUUGGAACUUUCCCGCGCCUACUUCAGCAGUAUUUUCAAAAACUUUUCUAAGUACUAGCGUACCAUUUUUGAAGUUUCUGGGCCUGACUUUUCGAUUGUAAUGCGCUGAUGCCCUUUGUUGAUAAUCUGCCAUCCGGAUGGACGCGCUUUCUCUGACUUCGUCUGCCCAGUCCAAAUUUCUUCCUAGUUCCGUGUUGGCGUCUUUUUGCUUUGCUGCAUCAGUCCGGAUAGUAGGAAGACCUAUUUCAGUGGGAAUGACUGCAUCCAUUCCAUAUGUGAGGGCAAAAGGAGUAUUUCCUGUUGGUCGUCCGGGUGUGGUUCGAUAGGCCCACAGGACGCCGGGUAGCUCCUCCACCCACUUCCCUUUGGCUUGCUCCAGCCUUUUCUUCAAGGCAUUGAUUAGAGUUUUGUUUGUGGCUUCCGCCUGGCCAUUGCUUUGAGGAUAACGUGGCGUGGAGUAUGAAUUCCGGAUAUUCAAUUCCGAACAGAAAUUCCUGAAUGCAAUGCUGUCAAAUUGUGGACCAUUGUCAGCUAUGAUGAUUUGGGGAAUUCCAAAGCGGCAAACAAUGUUCUUCCAUACGAAUUUGGUGACAUCUUUAUCUUUGAUGCUUGCAUAUGCUUCAGCUUCUACCCAUUUACUGAAGUAAUCAGUGGCGACAAGGAGGAAUUUCUUCUGGGCGGGUGCUGCUAGGAGGGGUCCCACUAUGUCCAUGCCCCACUGCGCGAAAGGCCAUGGGCCUGAGACCGAUUUUAAUGCGGCUGAUGGCAUGCGCGGAAUGGGAGCGUAUCUUUGACAUUUAUUACACUUUUGAACAUAUGCUGCCGCGUCUUUCUUCAUUAUUGGCCAAUAGUACCCCUGUGAAUGAGCUCUAUGUGCUAGGGAUCGUCCUCCCGUAUGAUUUCCGCAUAUUCCUUCAUGUAAUUCAGCUAGCACAUACUGGGCCUCUGAAUGCCCAAGACAGCGAAGAUAAGGCCCUAUGAAAGAUCGCUUGUACAGGUGCCCCCCGAUCAGGGUGAAGCGGGCAGCCUGCACCCGGAUUUUGUGUGCUUGUUUAAGAUCUUUGGGUAAAGUGCCUGUCCGGAGAUAUUCUGCAAUAUCAUGCGUCCAUUCUUGAUUAUCCGUUUGGGUUGCCUCAACGGUGUUGCAAGUGGAAUUUUCUGCGACAAAGGGAUUGGCUUGCACAUGUAUGGGCAAUAGAAUGACUUCUUUGAUAGGUAGAGAGGCAGCUAUGCCGGCCAAAGCGUCAGCGUGCCUAUUGUCAGCUCGCUUAAUUUUUUCGAUUGUCCACUCGGUGAAUUGCUGUAAGGUGCUUCUUACUUUGGCCAAGUAUCGCGCCAUGCGUGAGUCCUUAGCCUCAUAUUCUUUCUGGACGUGCCUUACCACUAGUUGCGAGUCGCUGUAGAUCCGGAGUUUGGAGACGGAUAGAGCAAGGGCGAGGUCCAAUCCGAACAGGAUGGCCUCGUAUUCUGCUUCAUUGUUAGACGCGGAGAAUCCCAGCCGGAUGGCUUGCUCCAGAUGUUCCCCAGUUGGGGACUGUAAUAAGAGCCCAACUCCAGAGCCUGAUGAGCGUGAGGCUCCGUCAACUCGUAGUGUCCACCACUCCUGUUCACUUGAUUCGUGGUGCUGGUUGGGUCUUCGUGAAUAUUCGAGCACAAAGUCGACCAUUACUUGGCCUUUUUUGGAUAAUCUGGGUUGGAAUUCGAUUCCAAAUUCGCUCAAUUCGAUGGCCCAUUGUAGCAUUCGCCCGGUUAAAUCUGGUUUGUGCAGAAUGCUACGAAGGGGUUGGUCGGUCAAUACAAUCACUGGGUGGGCUUGAAAAUAGGGGCGGAGCUUUUGGGCAGCACUUCGAAGAGUUAAGGCUGUUAGCUCCAUUUUUGAAUACCUGGUUUCUACAUCUGCCAAUGCCCUGCUGACAUAGUAGACAGGUUUCUGCUCCUUUGGUGAAGGGCAGCGGAAUAGAACGGCGUUGAUUGCCCAUUCUGAGACAGCUAGAUACAUGUAUAGCUUCUCCUUUGGGAUGAGGCUGCUCAAGAUGGGUGGAUGCAUAAGACAAUGUUUAAUUCUUUCCAACGCGUUUUGGCAAUUGUCCGUCCACCCCUGCGUUCCAGCUUUUCGUAUUGCCAAGAAGAAGGGUCGCAACUCAUCAGUGAAGCGGGCUAUGAAACGUCCUAACGCAACGAGCUUGCCUAUGAGGCGUUGUAACUCCUUUUUGUUCCUGAGAGGAGGUGUCUCCAUGACUGCUUUGACCUGAUCCGGGCUGACUUCUAUGCCUCUUUGGCUGACCAUAAAUCCCAGAAAUUUGCCAGCACUCACGCCAAAGGCACAUUUGGAAGGAUUUAGCUUCAUGCCAUACUUUCGCAAGAGAUAAAAAACUUCUUGUAAAUGGAGGAUAUGCUGCUCUCGCGUUUUGCUUUUAACUACGAUAUCGUCAAUGUAUACUUCGACCGAGCGGCCUAUCAGAGGUUUGAAGAUUUUAGUCAUCAAUCUUUGAUACGUGGCGCCAGCGUUCUUGAGUCCGAAUGGCAUGACUUUGUAGCAAUAGAGGCCGUGUGGCGUUAUGAAUGCUGUUUUUUCUUCGUCAUCCGGGGACAUGGGGAUUUGAUGAUAUCCGGAGAAGGCAUCCAAGAAAGAGAGCAUCCCCUGUCCGGAAGUGGAAUCCACAAUCUGAUCUAUUCGUGGUAAGGGGAAACUAUCUUUUGGACAUGCACUGUUGAGAUUGGUGUAAUCUACACAAACUCGCCAUUUUCCUUCUUUUUUGGGUACCACGACUACGUUUGCCAGCCAAUCCGGAUACGAAACUUCUCUGAUGAAUCCGGCUUCGAGCAAUUUAUCAAUCUCGUUCCGGAUGAUUCUUUGUCUAUCCGGGUGGAAGCGCCUAAUCCUCUGCCGGACGGGUCUGGUAGUUGAAAAGACGUUAAGCCUGUGAGAUGCAAUGGAGGGAUGAAUUCCCUUCAUGUCAGAAUGUGCCCACGCGAAGAUGUCAUGGUUCUGUCUGAGGACUUUUUGCAUGCCGCGAGUUUCUUCUUGUGUCAUGAGGGAACUGAUGUUUGUGAGGUGAUCACUUUCCUCCGAAAUUUGGAUUGUCUGUAAGGGAUCUGCUACCGGGGGAUCUUUGUCCGCCGGAUCCAAUAAUUGCUAUUGGUCGUGCGCAAUGCUAGGUUCAGGGGGAGAUGCAUCCUCCUGGUUAGCGACUGCCUCGCGUGCUAUUUGAUAGCACUGGCGAGCGGCUAAUUGGCUGCCAUACAAGUCGGUUUGCCCUUCGUUGGUGAGGAAACUCACCAUUUGAUGAUAUGUGGAAGGGAUGGCUUUCAUGUAGUGGAGCCAUGUGCGUCCCAAGAUGACAUUGAAGGGUGAUAACUCUUGUACCACCGAGAAUUGUACGUUGAGAGUGACUGGACCAGCUUGGACCGGCAGUAUAAUGUCUCCUAUGGAUGUGGUUGAUGACCCAUUGAAUCCGGAUAAGAUUCGUCCGGGGUUUUCGAGACCCGCGAGACUAUGUCCCAUAUGGCCAACGACUGAUGCUUGCACCAGAUCGGCUGAACUGCCUGGGUCGACCAAGAUACGUCUUACAUCAAACUCUCCUAUUUCUAGGGAGAGGAUGAGGGCGUCGCGAUGUGGCUGUAGCGUCCGGGUGGGAUCUGCUGGUGGGAAAAUGAUUGUCCCAUCUAUGGGGCGAGGGCCCUCUCCAGUAAGACCCGGCCGGAUGGAAUUAAUGCGUUCGCGUAUUGACGCGGCUCGCAGCAAUUUCUGCUUUUUCCUUCUGGAAUCAUAUUCCUCGUCAGAUGGGCCCCCGUUGAUAUAGUUUAUGACAGCCUUGGGGGCGAUUGGGGCACUCGGGGCCCCAGAGUUACGAUGUUGAGAUACGUCUCUUCCUCCAGUAUCUGAGCGGAUGUACUGUUUUAAAUGUCCUGCUUUGAUGAGCCUUUCAACUAGAUACUGGAGGGACCGACAUGUCUCUGUUGUAUGACCAUGGUCUUUGUGAAAGGCGCAUUUCUUGCUGCGGUCUCUUAUGGAUGGGUCCGUUUCGAGGGGUCUAGGCCACCUGAAGUCGGACAACCCUUGGAUCAUUGGGAGAAGCUUUUCGUAUGAUAUGGAUAGGGGUGUGAUGGGCGGCCUAUCCGGACGACUCGGCCCGUCCUGCCUCCGGUCAACUGGUUUUGGCCGGUCCGGAGGUUUGGCAUGUUUGUCCGUGUUAUCUCUAGAAGCCCGUCCGGCAACCAAAACUUGCUGGGUGGCUGCACGUACGUCAUCUUCGAGCAUUGAAUAUUUGUUAGCACGUCUGAACAAAUCGUCCAUCGUUGUAGGAGGCUUUUUGGCCAGCGAUUCAAAAAAUGGAGUGCCUGGACAGAUGCUUCUUUUGAAGAUCUGUAGGAUAGCAUCCAUGCUGCAAACCUCUAUUUGGAGUACGGCUUGGCCAAAUCGUUUCACAAAUUCGCUCAAGGAUUCGUUGUCUCUCAUUUUUAUGUUCUGGAGGGUGCUGAUAUUCUGCUUGUGUCGAGCAGAGCACAAGUACUGUCCCACGAAUGCUUCAGAGAGGUCCCUGAAAUUGUCAACAGAGUUAGGAGGUAGGCGAUGAAACCAUGAGAGGGCCUGCCCUUGAAGGCUGGCGGGGAAUACUUUGCAUAGCAAUGCAUCGUUGCCAAUAUCGAGCGUCAUGAGCUGUCGAUAGUGCAUGAUGUGAUCGAAGGGAUCGUUGGUCCCAUCGUAUGUGGAAAACUUUGGUACGAGGAAUCCCCUUGGGGGCUCGUAAUGGGUGAUAUGAGAGCAAAAGGGCAUGGAGAGCAUGUCAUCCAGCCUUUUGCUGAUGGAGCCAAUGGGUGGCUCGUUUGGGAGGUUUCUCCCAGCUGGUCGUUCCGCUAGGUGUGAGUGAACGUUCCGCAUCGCUGGGGUGACCAUGGGGUCACGAUGCGGAGGUACGUUCUGCACCAUGGGAGCGAUCAUAGGAUCGGGGCGUGGUGCCCGGGUUGUGGCUACUGGUGGCCUUGAUCUCCCAGGCUCUUGUGGGCCUAGUCUUGCGCGCAUAGAACUUGACAACUGUGAUUUUCUAUCACGUUGUCUUUUUGCUGAAAAAUGAGUGGAAUCUGAGCUUUCCUCACGGGGAGCUCGAGGCAUGGGCGUGCGUGGCUCAUGGGGCCUUGCGUUGUAUGCUCUUGGGGCAGCUCCUGUUGACCCAGGAUAUAUCGAUUCUGGCUCUGGCCUUGAAUUUGCCACCUGGCCUCUUGAAUGUUGACGACGAGGAGGACCUAACGUUGAGGCUUGAAUGCGUAACACAGCGUUUUCUUCCCUUAACCUCUCCGUCUCCUGGAGGAGAGCUCUUAGUUGUUUUUCGCUCGCCAACUGUCUUUUUUCGAUGGCUUGACGCCAUUCGUAAUUAUCUUCCUCCUUUCUACCAGAUGAUCGACUUUGGGAAGGUGUGGCCAUCUUUGCUAGUGACUGAAUCAGAAUAAAAAGUAAAAGUUUCCCACAGACGGCGCCAAUGUUGUCGCCUCGCGUAUCCGGUGAUCCACAUUGCUGCUAGAGGGAUGGACACGUGAUUCUCAACACACAAGGGGUUCUUGAUUUAGCGAUUGCACCUGCAAAAGGCAUCCGGACAGGGUGUCCGGACGCACCCUCCGAUGGUUUUGUUAGCCAUGGUGAAAGAGAGAUAUAUAAAUCAGUUGGCCUUUUACUAGGUAUCAAGAGGUUACCAGGGGAUCAGCCUUUUCUUCUUCGUGUGAAGUCAUAUAUAUACAGCUUCAGGGGUACUGCUCCUUUCAUUAAUGGUGAGAAGAUAUUUUAUGUUGUGAUGAUGAUAAUAGGUGUCAGUAGGAGCACUAUCAUCCUACGAACGGUUGUCAGAGACCAUGGUAGGUGAUGCGGCUGUCAGAGAUCGUGGGAAGCGAUUAUGUAGAAUGAUCGUGGGAAGUGACUUGCUGUCACUUCCUCUUGUCUUCUCAUUCUGCAGGUGAUGGGAUGUGGGCCAUGGCUGCUUGUUGUGAUUGCGUGUAAGACUCGCUUUACUUUAAUUGACUAUCCAGACGAUUUAUAUCCGGAUGGAUCAUGCUGAUUAUCCGGAUGUGUUGUGGAGACUAUCCGGGUGUCUACGCUCUGCCAGCGUCGUUUGCUCUUCCUUGGAUAGGAGAAGCUGAAACGUCGUUUGUCUUUCCUUGAGGGGUUCCGGAUAGGAUAGCCGCACCAUGCAUAUCUUUAGGGGAAUCCGGAUGAUGAUGGUCCGGCUGAUAACACGUGCCAAGCGUCACCAUGAGCUGCGUGCCACGUGUUUCCCAAGGGAAGGGGUCCCUACACUGACCACUAUGGGAUGGUGAGGGCUUUCGACUGUUUUUGGACACAAUGAUAACAAUAAUCAAGUUGUAUAACAAUUGUAUGUAGUAUAUUAGUUCCUCGGUUGUGAGAACUUGGAGAAUAUGGAACACGAUGUUAGCGCUAUGGUGAAGAUAGGUGUGGAGGUUGAUUUUGCACACAUUAAUUAUGAUGAAAGUGACAGUUGCACCAUCUAGGAAAGUUGCACAUAAAAAUGAUUGUAAUUGUAUGACAUUUGUAUAGGGACUAUAGUACACAAAUUUCUGGUUGUAAAUGUAUCUUAAUGGUUAUAGGGACUUUUGUUAUCAGAAUUAUGCAUGGAAUUUAAUUGAUUGAUUUUACAUUUCAUAAUAGGGUAUUAAGUGUUUGGACUAUAAUGGAUUUUUAUUUUUAUUUUUUGUAUUUGUUUUAAUAUAUUAUGUCAUUGUGUUUCAAUUUUGUAAGCUGCUUGAUUCAAGCUAAUGCUAACUAUUUAUAUGCUAUUCUCUCUUAUUUCAAUUCAUAUAAUUACUUCAUUCUAUUUUUUUUGUUAAAUAAAUAAAUUAUGUCUUCUAAACACACGUCUGAGUAUGGAUUGCAACUUAUAAAAUUGUAAAAAAUAAAAUAAAAUUAUAUCAUAUUUUUUAUAUUUUAAGAAUUUUUAAUAUAAGCUCUUAAUCUAUAUCAAUAAAUCUAAUCUACUAACAGGUGAAAAAAAGAAAUUUAUGUACAAAGAAUUGAGAUUAAAAUAUAAAAAAAAAUUAAUCAACAUUACAAUGUGAAUAAAUGGGAUGUAUAUAAUUAAUAUUGAUUACUUUUGGCAUCAAGGAAAAAUCUAACCAUGUGACAACCACAUCACUCUUUAAUGCGCUUUUCAACAUAUGGCUACUUUUAUUCUUUUUCCCUUUUGCUUCUUCAAUUCUUUAACUUCUUUUGAGAAAAGCCAAGUACAUGGGCCCUUUUAAGUUGAAAAAUGAGUCAUAGCAUGCUUAUCUUUCCACAUUGUUCUAAUUUUUCAUAGAAAUGAUCCAACAAAUACAUUGAAAUUGUAUUGGAAGAUGAAGGGUGAUUGCACCAAUUGGCCAUGGCUAUGGAGUUGGUACUAGUGUUCCUCUAAUAAUGUUCUCCAGGUAAAGUCAAAGUAUUUUUGCCUUCUUCCCCUUUACUUUAAUUACCAUUUUAUCGAUUUGAUUAGUGUAAUUAUCUGAAAAUAUAUAUCAUUAAUAUUUCUCUAAUCUUGGAUUGGAUUUAAAUUGAUUAGAUUGUCUAAUUUAAAAUCCAUUCAUAAUUUUUUCUACUAUAUUUAUACAAAAAUUUAAAUAGUAAAAUAAAAUUUUAAAAUAGUAAUAAAAAAAAGUAGAAAUAAAUUUACAUACCUUUAAAAAAAAUGAAAAAUUACAUGAUAUGAUUAUAAUUUGAUGUUUUUAAAAAAAUAUAAAAUAUAUAUAUUAUUAUGUAAAAAAUAUAUAUUAUAAACAUGAUGAAAAUAUUAAAUCAAGUUUAUUAUCUGUUGACAAAUAGAAUGAGAUGUUUAGGUCUACUAUAAUGUCUAGUCAAUCAUUCGAGCAAGGAGAUUGGCUAUGUAAAUCAUGGUAAGCUUUCUAAAAGCAAGGUUUUCACGGAUGGAAGACCAUAAAAUUUAGAAAGAUUCCAUUAUAUUUACAUCUUUCACUUCCAUCAUAGAAAGCAGACAUACAUGAAUGGGCCAUGGGUUGAGUGAUGGCACACCUAACUUUCCACAUUGUCGUCAUUAAUUUCCAACAAAAAUAAUUGACGGCAUUGAGUUCUUAUUGGAGCAAAGAAAGCUGCUACUCCAUUCCUAUUCUUCCUAACGACGUCUUGUGUCUUUCAUUUCCACUUCGCAUCUGCUAACCUUCAUCUUCCCCUCAAUUCCUUCACUUCCUCUGCAGAGAAACAGGCAUGGCCCUAGAGAUAUUUGCAGGAGCUUUUCUCUCCGCUUCUCUCCAUGUUCUUUUCGACAGGUUGGCUUCUUCCGAGGUAUGGACCUUCAUCGGGGGACAGAAGGUCAGUGAGGAACUCCUUCUGGAGUUGGGGAUGAAAUUGCUGGUUGUGGAUAAAGUGCUCGACCAUGCUGAGGUAAAGCAAUUUACAGAUGAACGAGUCAAAAGGUGGUUGGUGCGCGUUAAGAAUGCUGUGUAUGAUGCGGAAGACCUACUGGACGAGAUUACCACAGAAGCUUUGCGACGCAAGAUGGAAGCUGCUGACUCCCAGACUGGCCCAACUCACGUACUGAACAGCUUUUCCACAUGGUUUAAGGCCCCACUUGCUGAUCAUCAAAGCAUGGAAUCUAAGGUAAAGAAGAUCAUCGGAAAACUGGAAGUUCUUGCACAAGCAAUAGAUGUGCUUGCUUUGAAGGGUGAUGGUAAGAAACUGCCACAAAGAUUACCCUCGACUUCUCUGGUGGAUGAAUGUUGUGUGUACGGCAGGGAUGAAAUUAAAGAGGAGAUGAUUAAAGGGUUGUUGUCUGAUAAUACAGGUCGCAACAAGAUAGAUGUGAUCUCCAUAGUCGGCAUGGGCGGCGCAGGCAAGACCACCCUGGCUCAGCUUUUGUAUAAUGAUGGGAAAGUGAAAGGACACUUUCACCUGAAAGCAUGGGUUUGUGUUUCGGAGGAGUUUUGUCUUCUCAAGGUGACAAAAUCAAUUCUUGAGGGAAUAGGAUCUGCGGCCUCUUCUCAUAUGCAAAGCGAGAACCUGGAUUUGCUUCAGCAAAACUUAAAAGAUAGCCUUGGUGACAAGAAAUUUCUACUCGUUCUGGAUGAUGUUUGGGAGAAAUGUCCUAGUGAAGGGGCAGGGUUACGAAUUCCGCUCCUAGCUGCUUGGGAAGGGUUACGAAUUCCACUCCUAGCUGCUGGGGAAGGAAGCAAGGUUGUUGUGACCACUCGCAAUCGAAACGUUGCAAAAAUCAUGCGUGCAGAUCAUACUCAUCCUCUGGAAGGGUUGUCCCAGGCACAUUGUUGGUCCUUAUUUGAAAAACUUGCAUUUGAAAAUGGAGCCUCGGGCCCAUAUCCUCAACUUGAAUCAAUAGGCAGAAAGAUCGUGGCUAAAUGCCAAGGAUUGCCUUUAGCGGUCAAAGCACUUGGUUGUCUCUUGUAUUCUAAAACUGACCGAAGGGAAUGGGAACAAAUUUUGGAGAGUGAAAUUUGGGAUUUGCAAGAUCAUGAAAUCGUUCCUUCGUUGAUAUUGAGUUAUCGAGAUCUCCCAUUGCAUCUGAAACGAUGUUUUGCCUAUUGCUCCAUUUUCCCCAAGGACCAUGAAUUUGAUAAGGAGAAUCUGAUUUUACUAUGGAUGGCAGAAGGACUUCUACAAUUUUCAAAAAGCAAUGAAAGAAUGGGAAAGGUAGGUGAGAAGUAUUUUGAUGAACUUGUAUCGAAGUCAUUUUUUCAGAAAUCUGCUUUCAACAAAUCAUGCUUUGUCAUGCAUGAUCUCAUGCAUGACUUGGCUCAAUAUAUAUCUAGAGAAUUUUGUAUUCGAGUUGAGGAUGAUAAGGUGCAAGAAAUCUCAGAGAACACUCAUCACUCAUUGGCCUUUUGUCGUACCUUUGAUAGAUUGGUUGUGUUUAAGAGGUUUGAGGCCCUUGCAAAAAUAAAGUGUCUUCGAACGUACCUUGAGUUUUCAGAGGAAUUUCCUUUUUAUAUUCCAAGUAAAAGGGGAAGUGUUGAUUUACACGCUAUAUUAUCUAAAUGGAGGUACUUACGAGUGUUGUCAUUGCGUUUUUAUAGACUUACUGAUUUGCCCGAUUCAAUAGGUGAAUUAAAAUAUUUGCGUUAUUUGGAUAUCUCAUAUACUGGGAUUAAAAAGUUGCCUGAUUCCGUGUGUUAUUUAUACAAUUUACAAACAAUGAUUCUAUCAGUAUAUUACCAUUUCAUUGAAUUGCCUGAAAGGAUGGAUAAAUUGAUUAAUUUGCGUUAUCUUGAUAUAAGAGGAUGGAGAGAAAUGCCAAGUCACAUUAGUACAUUAAAAAGUUUACAGAAGUUGAGUAAUUUUAUUGUGGGCCAAAAAGGUGGAUCAAGAAUUGGUGAAUUAGGAGAGCUUUCAGAUAUUGGGGGAAGACUUGAAAUUUCAGAAAUGCAGAAUGUGGAGUGUGCUAGGGAUGCGUUGAGAGCGAAUAUGAAGGAUAAGAGACACCUUGAUGAACUAUCCUUGGCAUGGAGAGACGAAGGUACUAAUGAUGUUAUACAAAGUGGCGUCCUCAACAACUUGCAGCCUCAUCCAAAUUUAAAGCAGCUUACCAUCGCAGGUUAUCCCGGUGUAGCAUUUCCAGACUGGAUAGGAGGAGGUUCUUCACUCUCGAAUCUGGUCACCCUGCUGUUGUGGACAUGUGAAAAUUGUUCAUCAUUGCCACCACUUGGGCAACUACCCUCUCUUAAACAUCUUUCUAUCUCAGGACUAAAAGGAGUAGAGAGGGUGGGAAGGGAGUUUUAUGGGGAUGCUUCUUCCUCCAUUGCAAGUAAGCCCUCCUUCCCAUUCCUACAAACUCUAAGAUUUGACAGGAUGGACAACUGGGAGCAAUGGUUAUGUUGUGGAUGCGAAUUCCAUCGUCUCCAGGAGCUUUAUAUAAAGAAAUGUCCCAAACUCACAGGGAAAUUACCAGAAGAGCUUCCUUCAUUGAAGAAACUUGAAAUUGAUGGAUGUCGGGGGCUGCUUGUGGCUUCACUCCAAGUUCCAGCCAUUCGUGAAUUGAAAAUGGUGGGUUUUGGUGAAUUGCAGUUGAAAAGGCCAGCCUCUGGCUUCACUGCUCUUCAAACUUCACAUAUUGAAAUUUCAAAUGUGCCUCAGUGGAGGCAACUACCAUUGGAACCGCACGAGCUCACAAUUACAAACCUUGAUGCUGUAGAGUCUCUACUAGAGGAGGGAAUCCCGCAAACCCACCCUUCUGUCAUGCAUGAUUUGAAAAUCAGGGGUUGUUAUUUUUCCAGACCGUUGAACAGAUUUGGUUUUUCCAUGGUCACAUUAAAAUCGCUACAAAUCUGUGACUGUAACAACGUAGGGUUUCUCCUACCUGAGUUGUUCAGAUGCCAUCACCCAUCUCUUGAAGAAUUAAAAAUCAUCGAUAGUAAAACCGAUUUAUCUCUCUCAUCAUCCUUCUCAUUAUCCUUCUCUUUAGCCAUCUUCCCCAGGUUGAUUCAUUUUGAUAUCAGUUCUG
rnacentral:lncRNA from 1 species